rnacentral:rRNA from 1 species
AGUGAACGCUGGCGGUAGGCCUAACACAUGCAAGUCGAACGGCAGCACAGUAAGAGCUUGCUCUUACGGGUGGCGGGUGGCGGACGGGUGAGGAAUACAUCGGAAUCUACUUUUUCGUGGGGGAUAACGUAGGGAAACUUACGCUAAUACCGCAUACGACCUACGGGUGAAAGCAGGGGAUCUUCGGACCUUGCGCGUUUGAAUGAGCCGAUGUCGGAUUAGCUAGUUGGCGGGGUAAAGGCCCACCAAGGCGACGAUCCGUAGCUGGUCUGAGAGGAUGAUCAGCCACACUGGAACUGAGACACGGUCCAGACUCCUACGGGAGGCAGCAGUGGGGAAUAUUGGACAAUGGGCGCAAGCCUGAUCCAGCCAUACCGCGUGGGUGAAGAAGGCCUUCGGGUUGUAAAGCCCUUUUGUUGGGAAAGAAAAGCAGCAGGUUAAUACCCCGCUGUUCUGACGGUACCCAAAGAAUAAGCACCGGCUAACUUCGUG